CACAGGGAGAAGGGGCAGAAUCGCCGUGACACGGAAGCAGAGAGAUCAGAUUUAAGAGCUUCAGGAGGAAAUCAUCCAGCAAUAGCUCUUGGGCAGGUACUGAGCUGUGCACGUACCAGCCUGGAGCCCAGAGCGAAUUAACAAUUUUCCACGACACAUUGGUGCAAAGGCAUGAGCAGAGAACUCUGCAAAUUAUGAAGCGAAGGCUAAGCAAUUGUCCCUGUUCACCCAGGAAGUGCCCCGAGUGUAUUGAGCUGUGUAAACAACAUCUACACCAAGAGAUAUAGCACUGGUGACAGAAGACGCCCUGGGCCUUCCUCACCACUGUCCACCACAGAGAACACACCCUGAUUUCUCCUGCAAUGGAUUUUCACGCAAUGGGUGAUCCAAGCCUGGAUUGGAGCUUGCCAUAAAUGAAGCUGUAUGGUGUUUGUCUGGCAUUUUCAGUCAACAAAGUGUGGUGGUAUAUUAUUCUGGAGAGUCCACCUGCAUUUCUGUGUGUUCCAUGAUGUGAACUUUCUACCGAGAACACACCCCAUCCGGUUCCAGAAAGCUCCUAACUGAGCCAUGACAACCUUCUCUCACUUGAUACACGUGUUUCAGUUAUUGCUUUUCAACCUCUCCUUGAGGACAGGUUUGCUAAAGGACAGCUUUUGUUGACCGCGAUGCUCCUCACUGCCUAGAGUUUGCAGCCUGCCCAUCUCAGCCAGAUGACUUUGGUCCUUCUUCAAGGAAAAGCACCGAGGCAGAACUUCCAGAGCUCAGCCUCACCUUCACCUUCACCUUCCUACCUGCCUGCCCAUGGCUUCUGGGCACUUAGCCCAGAAGGCACAUACCCUCUCUACACCGACUGAACAAAACACACGAGUGAAUGAACUAACGUGCUCUCCCGGGCCCCAGCUUCCGUGGCUGAACACCAAGACAACAUCAUGCUGUUUCUCUGGCACUGAAGCACCAUCCUGACAACAAAAAGGGGCCUCGAGACGAAGGCACUAAAGUAUAAAUGACAGAGA